GAGUUUGAUCAUGGCUCAGGACGAACGCUGGCGGCGUGCCUAACACAUGCAAGUCGAACGAAGCUUUUGAUUUCGGUUGAGAGCUUAGUGGCGGACGGGUGAGUAACGCGUGAGUAACCUGCCUUACAGAGGGGGAUAACGUCUGGAAACGGACGCUAAUACCGCAUGACAUUUCUUUAUCACAUGGUAAAGAAAUCAAAGGAGCAAUCCGCUGUAAGAUGGACUCGCGUCCGAUUAGCUAGAUGGUGAGAUAACAGCCCACCAUGGCGACGAUCGGUAGCCGGACUGAGAGGUUGAACGGCCACAUUGGGACUGAGACACGGCCCAGACUCCUACGGGAGGCAGCAGUGGGGGAUAUUGCACAAUGGAGGAAACUCUGAUGCAGCAACGCCGCGUGAAGGAUGAAGGUCUUCGGAUUGUAAACUUUUGUACUUGGGGACGAUAAUGACGGUACCCAAGCAGCAAGCUCCGGCUAACUACGUGCCAGCAGCCGCGGUAAUACGUAGGGAGCAAGCGUUGUCCGGAUUUACUGGGUGUAAAGGGUGCGUAGGCGGCUAUGCAAGUCAGUUGUGAAAACUAUGGGCUCAACCCAUAGCCUGCAAUUGAAACUGCGUAGCUUGAGUGAAGUAGAGGUAGGUGGAAUUCCCGGUGUAGCGGUGAAAUGCGUAGAGAUCGG
rnacentral:rRNA from 1 species